GAUGUGAGGUUUUCAGUGGCGCAAUGAAUCAUGGGAGAUCAGGUGGGACAGGUAUCGCUCCCUGCAGUGUCUCCUUUCAUUAACUCUCUCUGGUCUCUUUGAUCUCUUCCGUCGCCAAAUCUUUCUGUCUCCUCCAGAACCGAGCUGCCCGGUCUGAACCCGGUCUGAACCCGUUCAAACCGGCUCUGACCCGGUGACAGUCCCGGUACUCAGAGUCACAAACUAACUUUAAACCCACUCAGAACCGUCUCUCCGCUACACUUGCGCCCGCACCUGUCAGGUAGACACACCUGUCAGGUAGACACACCUGUCGCCGUCAUGUCAGCGGGCCGGUAAUGGCAGCAGAGCGCGAGACUCAGCGGGAGGAAACCGAAGAGAGACUGCGGUGAAGACGGAGCUUAGAAAGGGACAAACGGGGACUUACAGCAACAUGGAUUCAAUGGAUUCAGAAGAGAAGUUCAGUCCGGCAGAGGAUCCUGAGUGGGACACGACGGUUGAGUUCCUGCCGCCCACAGAGGAGCAGCAGGAGGAGAAAUCCGGCCACAGGAAGACGCUGUGGGCCGGAGUCGCUCUGCUGCUCUCAGCUGCUGCUGUGGCUCUGAUAACCGGACUGCUGGUCUGGCACUUCCACUUACGGCGUGAUGUCAAAGAGGAGAGAGUUUAUAUCGGCUUGAUGGAAAUCAAUAACCAGCGUUUCCAGCCAGCGUAUGAAGAUCCCAGCAGUCCCGAGUUUUCAAACCUGGCCUCACUGGUGAACCAGCAGCUGAAACUGCUUUACUCCAAAAACUCCGUGCUGGCCAAAAACUUUAAAGGCUCCACGGUCCACGCCUUCAGUGAAGGAGACGGCGGAGGCGACAGCAUUGUGGCGUAUUACCAGUCAGAGUUUGACAUCCACGUCUCCCAGCAGGCGGCGCUGGACGACGCCAUCGAGUCUCUGGACCCGCCGGCAGAAAGUCAGCAGAGCCGACAUGGACGACUGCUGCUGAAACCCACCGACGCUCUGAACGUCAACGGCGUCAUCUCACGAGUUAUAGACCCACGCAUGACAAGGCGCACUUUGGCGAGAACGUCGUUCAACUUCCACGUCAGCGAAGCGGGAGUCGUCCAGUCUCCGGGGUUUACAGACUCUUUGUACCCACCAAACAUCUACCUGCAGUGGAGGCUGAGGGCCGACCCGGGCCACCGAGUCCGACUGGACUUCCACACUCUGAUCCUGGAGGACGACUGUCAGCAAGACUUCAUCAAAAUCUACGACUCCCUGGCUCCGAUAGAGAACCGAGUCCUGACAGAACAGUGUGGAUACCCUCAACGCUCUCUGUCCUUCAUGUCCUCUGGAAACGUCAUGUUGCUGAUUCUGGUCACCAGCGAGAAGAACAACUUCCCCGGCUUCAAAGCCACCUACUCCCAGAUCCCUCCGACUGAACUAAAGUGCGGAGGUACACUGACUGGAGACAAAGGCUCCUUCUCCUCACCUUUCUUCCCCUCCAACUAUCCUCCACAAACCACAUGUGUCUGGAACAUCGAGGCCUCAACGGAAAAGUUUGUGAAGGUUCAGUUCAACAAGUUCCUCUUGGGAAAAUACAGUAGCGAAUGUCCCAAUGAUUAUGUUGACGUCAACGGUCAAAGACUGUGUGGCAGUAAGCCAAAAGGCACCGUGGUCACCAGCCAAAGCAACAUGAUGACCAUCAAGUUUAACUCGGACUCGUCCUACGUUGACGAGGGUUUCACCGCCGAGUACGAAGCCUUUAUCCCGACAAAUCCUUGUCCUGGAAGGUUCCAGUGCACCAACAACCUGUGCAUCAACAAGACUCUGCAGUGUGACGGCUGGAAAGACUGUGGAGACGGCAGCGACGAGAACCACUGCACGUGCACAGCGUCUCAGAUGAAGUGUAAAAAUGGCCGCUGUAAACCGAAGUUCUGGGAAUGCGAUGGAUUUGACGACUGUGGAGACAACUCUGAUGAGGAAAUGUGUGUAAAAUGCAAACCAGGAGAGUUUCCCUGCAGAAACAACCGCUGUAUCCCAGAGAAGCUGAAGUGUGACGGAAAAGACGACUGCUCAGACGGAUCGGAUGAGUCUAAAUGUGAAAGAUCUCUGGUGUUGCAGCAGUGUUCAGAGUUCACCUUCCGCUGCAGGAGCGGACGCUGCAUCAGCAAACUGAACCCAGAGUGUGACGGCGAGCAGGACUGUGAGGACGGCUCCGAUGAAGACGACUGCCAGUGCGGGACGAGGCCGUACCAGAGCUCUCGUAUCGUGGGCGGUGAGGCGUCCGAGGAGGGCGAGUGGCCCUGGCAGGUCAGCCUCCAGAUCAAGGGUACGGGUCACGUGUGUGGAGCGUCGGUGCUGAGCAACCGCUGGCUGCUGACCGCGGCUCACUGCGUCCAGGACAACGGACCAAACAAGUACUCCCAGGCGGACCAAUGGGAGGCCUUGCUGGGUCUGCAUGUGCAGAGUCAGACCAACGAGUGGACGGUGAGGAGGAACGUGAGGCGGAUCAUCGCUCACGACGACUACAAACCCUUAACCUACGACAACGACAUCGCUCUGAUGGAGCUGGACGGCGACGUCACCCUCAACCAGAACAUCUGGCCCAUCUGUCUGCCCUCUCCCACCUACGACUUCCCAGCAGGCCAAGAGGCGUGGAUCACCGGCUGGGGGGCCACCAGAGAAGGAGGCCUUGCUGCGACCAUCCUGCAGAAGGCGGAGGUUCGGAUCAUCAACAGCACGGUGUGCAAGAGUCUGAUGCCGGAUGCCAAUGACAGGAUGCUGUGUGCCGGAGUCCUCAAAGGAGGCGUGGACGCCUGCCAGGGCGACUCCGGCGGGCCGCUGUCCGUCACCGGCCCCGGUGAGCGGGUCUUCCUGGCGGGCGUGGUGAGCUGGGGCGACGGCUGCGCUCGCAGGAACAAACCCGGCGUCUACACCCGAAUCACCAAAUAUCGCAGCUGGAUAAAGGAGAAGAGCGGCGUGUAGCAGUGGAUGCCUCUCAUGGAUGUUUAUGACUGGAGAAUUACUCCCUGCUGGAGAUCCCAGCCACCUUCUUCUACCUGAUCUCUGCAAGCUGCCUUUCCUGCGCUACCCGAGCCAUAUCCAGAACACACUCUCACCUCCUCCGUCCUCUGAGCCCAGCCGGUUCUCCACGAUCCGUGUCGGAAAGUCUUCCUACUGGCUCCAGCGGACUACACCUGCCUCGCCUGCUCUGGAAAAGCAUUUCUCUACCAGUGAUCUUUUGCCAUAUUUAAAUAAAGACUGUUAAACUAACGAUCCAGUUCUCCCCCUCGCUGUGUCUUGCGUUUGGGUCCUUAGAUCGUGAACUACAACACAAUGGAGCAAACUUGGGGCCUAGAAGAUUUCUGGAAAAUGUAUGAAAUGUCACUGUGUGGCGUGCCCUGCUCUGCGCUCUGUAUAUUUUCCUGCUUUAUUUAACCUUUGCCAAUCACAUGCCUGAGUAUUAGUUUGGAGGACAGAAUAACAUUGUUGCGAUCAAAUGCGUUCCAUAGCGUUGCUCUAUCUUUUCUCUUUUGGCAUCUUAAUAGAGGACAGGCCUGUAUUUGAGGAGAGUCUAAAAGCAUGCAAUAUCAAACAGCUUUUGCUAAAGCUAGAAUUCUGAUUCAAAGCUACUUUUGUGUCAUUAAUAGUUCACUUUGCAAAUUGGGUGGGGGACAAUAAUAUUCCAUGUUACAUUGUGUUUGAAAAGGUUGCCCUUUUUAACUUUAAGCACCUGCCCAUCAGAGGGUCUCUACACGGUGGUGCAAAAUCCUGGUAAAGUUGAUCAACCUGUGAAUCCCUAAUUGCAUUUAUGUGUAAUGUGAGUAGUCAUAGCCCAACAGCCUCACAAGACUUUACACCCAGAAACUAACUUGGGAUAUUCAGAGUGUUUAGUUUGUCUAGGCACACUGAAGGGGAUUGCUGGGGCGAGACGGACGUUAUCCAUGUGCUUAUCCACACACAUAAUCUAUCUAUCAGGUGACUGCUGGAGGAAAUUCCAACAUCAUCAGCAAACAUGCCCUCCUCUGCAGGCUCUUUUGGUUUGUUUUUCUAACAGGUGGGCACCUUCAGUGGAAACCCCCCCACAAAAACACUUUGCACACAUUGUGCAUUGUAGAGUUGGACGUGUUGGCAUCUGCAAGAUGAAAAGAUACUCAGCAAACAACAAGCACAUGUGGUUUCUUUUUCUCAGGCCCAUAAUUUCCUUCAGUGAAUCUAACACUCAUCUGCAAUUGUAUACAUCCUGCCACUGUAGCAUUGUACUUUGCACCAUCUUCACAUGUAUCUACUUUUGCAGUUUUAAAAUUCACUAAACCAAAAAAAAAAAUAAUUUAAUCGAAAAUAUUAUCCAAAUCGCAGAAGCAUCCAUUUUUUGAUAAAGGUAAAAUGUGUGACAAAACAGCUUUAUAAUGAAGCGCUGCAGAGACGCCCCGGCCUGCACACCUUGUUCUCCAGAUGUAAGAAAACAUGUUUGUUUGGUACAGACCCCAACAAAUGUCAUAUCAUCAUGAUUUUAAUAGUUCUUCAGUGAAAAUGAAAAUUGUGAUGCAAAAAUGAUCAAUCCCACUAAUCAUAAAUCAUAUCUCAAUCGUUAUAUCUGUCAAAAUAAUCGGAAUAUGAUUUUUUUUUUACCAUAUCGUGCAGCUCUUACAUUGUUGCAGCUGUUCUGAUCUGUUCUUGUUUUUCAUGCAUGUUGCAUUGUUGUUACAAUCUGUGCAUUAAUUUUCACCAUAAAAUGACUACAAAAUAAAAAACAAAAAAGCCUAAACUUUAACUUUCAGUCAGCUAUUUACCACAACCUCUUUGUGAAAGAUGAGGCCAAUACUUCUUGGACAUGAAGAAAUGUGUUUGCUUUCUUCCUGUUUCCUGUAAGUAUAUUCAGAGGUUACAAGCAGCAGCUCUCAGCAGAUGCAAACUCCGCACCAAAGAUGAAGAACAUCUUUCCAAAAGCAGCUCUCAAACAACUCAGCACCUACGUCGCAAUCAUUGUGAUUUUUAUUUACAAUGUUGUGCUUGACAAGAAUCUGGAGUGCUCGUGCGAGCGUCAAGCUUUGGUCUGCUAUUCAUACUUGUUUCUGCCAUUUUUAAUUUUGUUCGUUUUGCAACUCUGGAUGGACAAGAAAUUUCAGAGAGCCUGGAAAUAUACAUGUGCAAAAAAUUGCAAAUUUUUCUGUGUUUUACUGUAUCACAUUAUAAAGGCAGUUUUCAUCGGUCUGCUGUGGGUUGUAUCUGUGUUAAUGGAUGGAGACUGGUAUGUUUGCUGUCACAAUGAUCAUUCUGAACAACAGAAACAGUUAGCCUGCAAAGACAAGAAAGACAUCACACUUGAGGAACACACAAUCAUUGCUAAACUGAAACACACAUCCUGGGGUAUUGGCAUCUCUCUACUCUCAUGUGCCCUUUUUGUAGCCACCGUAGUGUCAUCAUUUGCAUGGAGGAAUUGCUGUAAGAAAAAGUGUGACAGAAAACUUCUAUAUUACAAAGUGAUUUUGGACGAGGAGAAGAAAGUACUGAAAGAGAUUUUGACAACAGCAGCGAAAAAAAGUUGACUGAAGAUGUCGAGAGCAAAAUAUCUGAUGAACAGUGGGAAACAUGUUUUGAUGUUGCUUCAAAACUGAUUGAAAACAACACUGGUCCCGGAGCAGCAGGAGCCAAUCAGGAGCAACAACGGGAGCAGCAACAGCCGGGACAACAGCCGGAGCAGCAACAGCCGGAGCAGCAACGGGAGCAGGAACAGCCGGGGCAGCAACGGGAGCAGGAACAGCCGGGGCAGCAACGGGAGCAGGAACAGCCGGGGCAGCAACGGGAGCAGGAACAGCCGGAGCAGCAACGGGAGCAGGAACAGCCGGAGCAGCAACAGGCGGAGCAGCAACAGGCGGAGCAGCAACAGCCGGAGCAGCAACAGCCGGAGCAGAAACGGGAGCAGGAACAGCAACCACAGGGAUCAGAUGAGGAGGAGGAGGGGCCUGAAGAAAGGGAGGCGUGCCAGAGAGAAGCAGCACUAAAUUACAGAUGCAGCCCCUUAUGCAGAACAAGGAGUGAAGUGCAUCAACAUACUGUUGAGAAAUGUUGUAUGAGCAUUGUCACCAAAAUUAGAUUGAUCUUUAAUCUGUAAUUAUACUGUUUCUAACGGACGCAGACUGUGGAAAACUUUGUUUCUUUGCUUUUGUAAUUUGUAAAGAGAGUUUUAAAGAAAUGCUUCUGUCAUGGUAUAUAUUUUCUGUGUUUUUUUUGUGUUGAGCCUUCAGCCUACAGCUCUAUUCUGUAGAGGUCACUCUGGUGCUAUAAAUAAAUGUUUAACUACUUGAUCAAAUUAUAAUGCAGGUGAAAAGCUUUAAAUGUCUCUGUGAUAACUUGGCACGAUAGCGACACACUGAACAGGAAGGUCAGAAUGUGUAACUGCAGGCUUUUGCAUUUUUAAUAAAAUGUUACACUAUAAACAAGAGAAAUUAAGCUCUCUGUGAUGACUUUUCAAGGUGAAGAUAUUAACUUUUCAUUUUUACCAGUGUAGCAGUCGACUCCUACAGGACGUGUUACAGCCUUUAGCUUAAAAAAUGUAAAAACCCUUCAGAAGUGCCCAGUUUGUUCUGUGGUGUACUGGAUGGUUUAUUGACACCGCCAAAACUAAUUUUCUCUUUUAAUCAUUGAACUGUAUCAUUGUGUUUCACAUUUAAUUUACUGUUUGUCUUAUUAUUGUACUAAUAAACUCAAAGGAAGCUUCCACUAAACCAUGAAGAGAAACUG